rnacentral:rRNA from 1 species
UACGAAGGACCCGAGCGUUAUCCGGAUUUAUUGGGUUUAAAGGGUGCGUAGGCGGAUUUAUAAGUCAGUGGUGAAAUCUCCCAGCUUAACUGGGAAACUGCCAUUGAUACUGCAGAACUAGAGUACAGAUGACGUUGGCGGAAUGUGUCAUGUAGCGGUGAAAUGCAUAGAUAUGACACAGAACACCGAUUGCGAAGGCAGCUGACGAAACUGCAACUGACGCUGAUGCACGAAAGUGCGGGGAUCAAACAGG